AGAGUUUGAUCCUGGCUCAGGAUGAACGCUGGCGGCGUGCCUAACACAUGCAAGUCGAGCGAAGCACUUUGCUUAGAUUCUUUCGGGAUGAAGAGUGAUUUGACUGAGCGGCGGACGGGUGAGUAACGCGUGGGCAACCUGCCUCACACAGGGGGAUAACAGUUAGAAAUGACUGCUAAUACCGCAUAAGGCCACAGCACCGCAUGGUGCAGGGGUAAAAACUCCGGUGGUGUGAGAUGGGCCCGCGUCUGAUUAGGUAGUUGGUGAGGUAACGGCUCACCAAGCCGACGAUCAGUAGCCGACCUGAGAGGGUGACCGGCCACAUUGGGACUGAGACACGGCCCAAACUCCUACGGGAGGCAGCAGUGGGGAAUAUUGCACAAUGGGGGAAACCCUGAUGCAGCGACGCCGCGUGAGCGAUGAAGUAUUUCGGUAUGUAAAGCUCUAUCAGCAGGGAAGAAACUGACGGUACCUGACUAAGAAGCACCGGCUAAAUACGUGCCAGCAGCCGCGGU
rnacentral:rRNA from 1 species